GUAGAUAUUAUAAACUUAUUUUGCAAAAAUAAGUAUGGUCUGUGUAAAGUCCUAUCUAUU
rnacentral:tRNA from 1 species